GAUGGGGUUGGGCAAGUGACAGUGCUGCUCCACUACUCUCUGGCAGUGCGAGUCCAGGAACUCAACAGCUGAGAGGACAAUUGAGAAAGAAUGAUCGAUAUCUUACCGAGAGAAUAUUGAAUUCUAAUGCACAUGACGAUCUAUUGAUGACUCGUAUUCGUCAGAGUGGCAGUCAUAGCAACUGACACUCACUCUAUUAUGUGUUCCCUGUAAAUGGUUUGUUAAUUGCCUUAUUAUCCGAGUAACUACAUUCCCCCAAUUAUAAUUACCAUCAACAAAUUAAA